AACGCACAUUGCGCCCGCCAGUAUUCUGGCGGGCAUGCCUGUCCGAGCGUCAUUUCAACCCUCGAAGCCCCCCGCGGCCUCGGUGUUGGGGAUCGGAUGCCCGCCCCUCGCCUCCCCCUCCCAGGGGGGGACGGGGGCGGCCCGUCCCUUAAAUCCAGUGGCGGCCCCCCGCCGCGGCACUCCUCUGCGUAGUAAUUGCGCCUCGCAUUGGGUACGCGGCAAAAGGCCACGCCAUAAAACACAACCCACCCCCCCGGUGGGAAGGCACAGAAUGGUUGACCUCGGAUCAGGUAGGAAUACCCGCUGAACUUAA
rnacentral:misc_RNA from 1 species